CUACAAAGACCGGCGUACCCUGCCCACCGCCCCCAGCCUUGCUUUCCGGUGCGUCGGGCGCGGUGUGUUUUGGGACUUGUAGUUCUACGGUGUCGCGGUGGGGUCCUGCGGGGUGGGGCUGCCCCCUGAGGGUGGCUGCGCCGCCGUGCUGGGAAUGAAGGCGCAGGAGGGGGGCUGGUGGUCUUCGCUUUCCGGGUUCCGGGGCAUAAGAAAGCCUGCGGGUUCUUAACGUGGUUUCACCUAGCCCUGCUAUGAAGCCCUGCUGUACCGCGAGGUGUCUGCGCAGCGGGAGCACACGGAUCAAAGUGAUCUGGGAAUUCCUGGGUCAUGGGGGUGGGAAUAAAUUACUAUCUCGCCAUCUCAUAGUGACUUAGGGUACAUUAAGUAGCAGUGUGUUACUCUGGAGAAGAUGAGCAUAUCACAAUUGUUGUUAAAAAGUACACUUUAUGCAUUUUAUGUUAUUUAUAUGUAAUUUAUAAAAGCAAUGCCCCCUCUCUGAAAUACCUUCUUUGUUCAUGGCUCUGGAAAACACUGCACCUCUUGUUUGUGCUGCACAGCUCCCCUGCUUACCAUAUAAACUCGGCACUUUUUGCAGGGGACACAAAUAGCGUAGCAAAACUGCUGUGAAGUGACCCGGGCUGUGGCUGCGAACAGGCCUGUGGCAUUGCCCAUGUCAUUAAAUACUGCCCUGGGGGCUAAUGUUACCACCGGAGUGGAAUUCUUUCUUUGGGAUUCUGUUCUUAGCCCCCAGGUGAUAGUGAGGUCAGUUUUUAUAAAGGCACUGUCGGUCGAACAGGAGUCCUCUUCCAUGCCCUUUGAAGAGAACAGAUUCUAUUUUGUCACCUUGAGCAGGUACAGGAACAAGGCGUGAAGUUGAAUUUCUUUGGUCGUUUGGACAUUCCAAGGAAGUCUGGGGGAUUUUUUUGGCUGCUGAGGAAUGUGGGCUCAUUGCCUUCGUGUCUCAAGGUUCCAUCCGCUCGCAAAAUCAUCAGGAAUGACUGUUAGUUCACUGACAGGAGAGAAGCUAUGCAAGGUUACGGUGAAUUAAAAUUGGGUGUGUGAUCUUCCUGCUUUUCUCUUCGUAGUAGCUGUUCCCUGUGUGCUCUGUCCGUGGCAAUCCGCCUUGGAGAAACGCGAGCAGCCGAAGCAAAGCCGCUCUAAGCAGAAAGGGCUGUGACUCGCAUCGCAGGCGAGAUGAGCCACCCUGUGGCAAUACCCUGCAAUUUGCCUUUAUUGAGGGCGAAAGGACGGCAAAACUAGUUGCUGAAUGUGUAAAACAGUAGAAAGUAUUUGUUGUCUUUUUUUUUUUUAAAUGUAUAUUGGUACCAGAUGUGUUCUGCCUCCGUUUUCUAGUUAUUUAGUUUUCCAGAGGACUGGUGUAUAUAUAUUAUAGGCAUGGUCAAAAUCUGUGCAGCCGCUGUGAUCCUGUGUGCCAAAACCAUGGGUUUUGCUAAUGCUGGCUGGCUCACUAGCUUGAUUUAACCUUGUUUAGGGACUAGGGGUUGCAGAAUCAGGAAAGCCUAUUAAUGUAAGAGAACCUUAUGCAACCUCUGUGAACUUCCCAGCACUUUCUCUGCUGGGAGGGGGAAUGCAGGAACUGCUAAUUGUGUAACACUAGUAGUUCAGCAAUGCCACCUUCUGUUGUAAAAGAAUAAAACCCAAGAAAAUAAUCCUAUAGGUGAGAACACUGGGAUAAUCCUAUUGAAUUAAAUGUAGCUUCUUUUGUUUUAGUUGAGUCAGUGUGAUAUAAUUUCAAAGUCCCACCUACCCCCAUGAUCCUGUGAAACACAGAGGGUAGACUUUCAAUCAGUUUAUGGGAUUUAGGUACUCAAAUCUAAUUGCAUUUCAAUUGGAUGUAGGCACUUAAAUUCCAUUGUAGUUUAGAAUGCAUGCAUUCAAUCCUGUUAUAUUCCAAUGGGAUUUGGACCUUUCUCUCUCAGGAGACUAGGAAAUCUAUGACUUGGAGGACAUCUGUUUUAUGACAAAACAGCCAAUUUUCUUUCUCAGCUGUAGACUUCAGUGUUAGAAGUUAUGGAGCUUCUUCUAAAGGAAGUUCUUUAAUUCCUUCCAAAUUCUAAAACUGUACAACUUCAGAAAUGUUAUUUCAGCUGACAGCUGGAUAUUUUGAAUGUAGACUUUAGUAUCAAAACUGGGAAUUUUGUACUUGAAGGAAUUUCAUGUGGGCAUGCAGAUCCUAAAUUGUGAUCCUUGGAAUACUUUCAGUGGUUGCCCUGUCAUUCUAAUGUCUCCACUUCAGAGGGGGUAUAUCAAUAUGUGUGGGUGUUGUAUUUUAAUACUUCCUGUGCCUGUGUGAUGUCAGCACAUGUUCAGAAGGACCUUGAUUUUUUUAAAAGCUAAAAAAACAUGACCUUUUUCAUAUAUCCUUUGAGAGCUUCUGUUCUUGGGAGCUGUAAUAGCCUAUUUCAGAUAUCCAGAAAGGACUUGGGGGAGAGGUAUAAAAUAGGAUUUAGAUUCCAUUGUGGUCUGGUUCUUUGCAGGUUUGGUCUGACUCUCUGUGAUGCACUUCUCUGUGGCUAUGUUCAAGUUUCCUUUGAAAUCAUUGUAGGUCACCUUGCCUGUGCAGUGUAGGCUCAUGGAAGCCUGCAGUCCUUGUUCAGAGUUUAAAGUAGCAUGUAGAAGACUAGGCUUUCCCAAAGUCCAUUUUUUUUAUUAGCUGUAGAUCUUUAUGCUUUCUAGCUCAGGUUUUGAAUUUCAGACUUGAUCCCUCACCAUGACUUCAUGUGGUGGAGACUGAUUACCUCUACGGCACCUAACUGAUUACUUAUCCCAGCCUGCUAACACUGGUAUAGUAUCUUCUCAUGCUUGUCAUUAACCAUACUCAUAAUAUCCUGUUAUACCUGAAUUGGUUCCAGUGUGGUAUGAUGCUAAUGGUCCAUUAGUGGAAUAAAGGUAGACUUAUAGGCUUUUUGUGGAAUAACAGGUUCACAUGAGUGGUUCAGCUGUUGUCUAUUAUUCUGGGCAAUUCACUGAGUUAUGAAUGAGACUCAACAGUUUUCUGUUCGGGUAUGUCUGUUGUGCUUCUCUCUUAGAUGGGAGUCCUCAAGUAAGAAAGCAGAAGCCUCUAAGAAGUUAAAAAAUUUCUGCUGGCCAGAGGCUAAGUCUGCUUUGAAUUAUAAGAAAUAUUUCUCUCAGGAGUUGCAUCUGGGUAGAGAAAGUCAUGGAUAUUAUGGCCAGAAUUUUCAGAUGAAUGAACUAUAAAUGUUAACUUUACAAUAAUUUGAAUUAUAACAUUUGCUUCUGUUCAGUAGCAGUUAUGCUAGAAAUGCCUAGAAAACUGUGUCCUUCCUUCUUAUCCUUAUCAUUAGCAUUUCUGGUCCCUGUCCUGGCUGGGUAUAUCUUGCUUCAGCUUUAAAAUACACAAAUAGUUAUGGUCACCAACUGCUAAUAAUAAUGUGUCAUUAAUAAAUAGAAUCAUACAAUCAUCAGUCUUAGAAGAGACCUUCAAGAUGGUCCAGUCCUACAGUCCACCUAACACUAAACUGGAUCACCCAGCACCAGAUCCAGACACUUCUUGAGCACCUCCAGGGACAGUGACUCUUCUUCCUCCCUGGGUAGCCUACUCCACUGCCUGACUACUUUAACAGCAAAAGAAUUUUUUUCAAGUAUCUAAUCUGACUGAAUCUCUCAGUUUAAGGCUGUUCCCUCUGUUCCUUUCACUGCAGGUGUGGUAGAGGAGACUGGCCCCCACCUCACCACAGCUUCCUUUCAGGGAGUUGUAGAGUGAUGAAGUGCCCCUUGAGCCUUCCUGAGACUGAACAAUCCCAGCUCCCUCAGUUGCUUCUUGUAAGACUCCUUUUCUAGACCCUUCAUGAGCUUUGCUGCCCUUUGCUAGACAUGCUCCAGCAACUCAAUGUCUUUUUUGAAGUGAGUGGCCCAGAACUGGACACAGCACUUGAGAUGCAGCCUCACCAAUGCUAAGUACAAGCAGACACUCAUCUGUGAAUGAAAAGCCAGGAAAGCUGGAAUUGUUCAGCCUGGAGAAGAGCAGGUUCAAGGAUGCCUUGCCCAUGUGCAGAAAUACCUGACGGGAGUGUGGAAAGGAGUUGAAGCCAGGCUUUUGUCAGGUGUUCCCAGUGACAGGAAAAGAGUCAGAGGGCACAAAUGGAAAUAGAGAAAAUUCCAUGUGAACAUAAGAAAGCACAUUUUUCUUGUGAGAGUGAUCAAACACUGGUAGAGAUUGUCCAGAGAAGUAGUUGCUUGAUGAUAUUUAAAAGCUGACUGGACACAGCCCUGAGCUACUUGCUCUAGCUGACCCUUCUUUUAAGCAGGGGCUGGACUAAAUGUUUUUGAGAGGUUCCUUGCAUCAGCAACCCUUCUGUGAUUUUGUGAGCUUAAAGACCCUCCAUCCUGCUGUUGCUGAAGAGCAAGAAUGUACCAGCACCAUUUCUAUUUCUGUUUUCUUAAAAGCAUCUACUCUUCAAAGAGUAUGGGAGAAAAAAUUGUUCUCAUUUGCUGUUGUGUGAUGAAAUGAAAUUCAGCUUGUGGCAAGUUGACAGGUAAUCUUUGAAUGUACUUUCUGAUACUUUUUUUUUUCUGAAUAAGUUACUUUUUUUCUUGCCUGUAAUCAUAGUGAAAAGAACAUUGUAAGGAAAACCCAGGGAGCAGAGAAUAAGGAAUUAUUGUUAAUUUAGUAUGUGAUGUGUUUUCAAUCUAAAUAAAAGUAUUAUACAGGAAUUACAGAUUGAGGAGUCAUAUUCAUAUACAAUGAGUUCUUUACAUGGCUAUGAAGCUUCAAGUUUAAAAGUAGUUGGUUUCCUCUUAGCUAAAAGUAGUGAUUUUAAAUGAUCUUUGUUUUACACCAUUGAACCCUUUGCUUUCUUUCGCUGCAGGGAAGAGGUGGUUCUUUCCCAGUAAUAGCCUUUUGGAUGCAAUGGUACCCUGGGUUUUCAUGCAACGUGACAAAGCUUCUGGUCCUUUGAUACAGCUUUUCUUUAAGAUUUUAUUUUUCUUUCCUAAUGCUCUACAGCUUACUGUUUUGUAUGGUAUAGUGUAUUUUAGUAUUGAUUUGUGAGAAUCUGGAAAGUAUUUCUUUGUCUGUGGGGUAAGAAGAAGAAGAAACUUGGCCUUGUUAAAACAUGAAUGGACACACAAAUGGGACAGACUGUUAAUUGUUUCUACUGUUUCUCUGUGGCCUUGAACAAAUCACUUAAAUUUCACUUUAUUGUCGAUUCACAGGUUUUGUUAUAGGCUCAUUCAGCAAGCUAACGAAGUUGCAGUGAAUAUAAUCUUCUAAAUCACUAUUACUUGUGCAACUCUGUGUUCUGAAUUAAAGAGAUGCUUGUCUUUCCUGCACGACACAGCUCUGUUACAAUGCGUUCCUGUUGCCCAAAAUCACUAAUACAGCCCUACAAAGGACAGCGUUCAUUGACUGUAUCCUGUGCACAAAGGAUAUAAGUUUCAUUGUUUUUUUAACAAUAACAUAGAAACCUUUCCGUUUAUUUCCGAAGUUCAAAUAGCUGCAGUGGUGUGAAACAGCUUUGUCUAGGAGAAACAUGUGUCGCAUUGAUAUGGAAAUUAGCACACCCUGUGCUUCAGUAGGUGCCAGGGUGGCAAUGUUCAGUACUGCCACACUUAAGUAAGCUUCUGCAUUGUGCUCAGGUUCUGUUCAGCCAGCCAAAAUUCUAGCAGCUUUUCCUUCUGUGUUAGAAGUAGGGUUUGAAAUAUUACUGCUGUACCUGACAUCCACAUGAUAGAAUCACACUCAUUUUUUUUUUUUUUUUUUGUGAAGUAGCAAUAUGGAGUUAGUUUUAGAUGAAUAUUAUACAAUAGUGUACUUAAUUUAUGGUAAAAAACCCCUGCAGAUAAUUUGGACUCCUGGCUUUGAGAAGAACAAAAUUACUUCUUCAGGACUUUGUUUUCUAUUGUUUUCUGUUUAUUUAGUCUUUUGGUAUCUUUCAAUUUCUAAUUUUCUUUAUUAAUUGCAAUUAAAAGAUAUGUUGCACACUAACAUGUUAAUUAAGCAUUAACAUUUGCAGGCUAUUCUAGGGCUGGAGGCUACUGUUUAGUGGUUAUUGUUCUUGCUAUCUUGCAGAGCCCACAGGUGUGCUAAACAUUUGCUGCGACAUAGAAAAAUGUUGUUAUUUUCUGGAUGGAUUUGUAACUUUAUUUGUAACUGAACAGGAAGAAACAAGUGAUGAUAAAAAACAUUUCAGACAAAUUGAUAGGAGAGAGCAAGGGUUAUCACAGGAAGAUCAAUCACUUACCUGAGGCCUUGACUUAGAAUUUAUUAUCAGACAGUAUUUACAAUGAAUGAUUACAUGGAGCGGACUUUUCUUUAGGAGAGAUGAGAUCUAUAGGGAAUGCCUUAGCAGAUCCCAGCUGUGUCAAAUCUCACUGAAGAAGCAUGGUAGGAAACCUUCAGUCACAGAAACAGUGAGGGAAGGCUGCCUCACUUUUCUACACUACUUUUCUUGCUGUCGUCUGGACAUGAUUGCAGGAUCUGGAAUGCUGAUACCUUCCUUCUGAACUGCCCACAUGCCUAAUUUCUCAGUGAAUGUAAGGGUAUGGGAGGGAAGCAGAAGUUGGGGUGGUCCCAGUGUGCUGGUAGGAUAUGGCCAUGUCUCACACCAAGUCUGGGGAGAAGAGUCAUGGGUACCACUGUUCAGAGGCAGCAGUGGUAAUUUCAUCUAGAAACAUAGACACAGCUGCUUACUGGUAUAUUGCAACAUUUCUCAAAACUCAAUUGUAAUUGAAGGGGAAAAUUAAAAAAUUGUAUGAGUGAAUAAUAUCCUUUAUGUGCUCAUGAGGAAGGCAGUCAUUAGGAUGCCUUUUGAAUGAAAACAUUGCUGUGUCUGGAUGUAAUGGGAAUGGCAGGUAUUGCAAGUGUAGGGUGAGGUGGCAAAAAACAAGGGUGAAUGUAAGAAAGGUAAGCAAUGUUAGAUGGAGAUUUGCUGCCAGAACUGUCACAGGUGUUUCAAAGGAGACAUCAUAUGUGGUGGAACUCAGCUAGUAUUAGAAUGGUCAGGUUUUAGUCAAAAAUCAAUGUUGCCUUUCACCAGUACAGGCAUUAAUACCCGCAUCGCCACAAAUGAAUACUAAUGGCAUAAUUGAAAAAAAAAAAAAAACCCUCUUAUUUUUGAUGGUGUUACUUUAUUAAGUGUUCCUAAAUGGUCUCAUGUUAUUCUGACUCACUGUAUGAUAGUGAAGUUUCAGCAUGAAGAUCUUGGCUUAUUAGGUCCACAACUGACAUUGCAAAUUAUUUUAAUCUUUUAAUAAAGAUAUGGAAAAAAGGAAGAAAAAUAGUUGGAAAAUUUGAGGUAUAAUUUAAGUGGGAUUUUAAAAAAAUACAUUUAAAAAUAAAAUCUGUAAAGAUAUGUAAUACAAUAAAGUAAGGAAUAUUAGUUUAACUGGCAUCCCCUAAUUGUUUUCCUUUGUAUAUAAAAAUGUUUUAGAAGGGAAUUCUUUCAGUUAAACUAUAUUAUAGGUGGUAUUAUAGACUUUAUCAAAUGUCUUCUUUUGGAAAAAGAAAAUGCUUGGAAUGAAUCCAAGUUAUUGUUUUCCUUAAGUUUGUGCUUUGGUACCAUUUUUCUGGGAACGAAACAAGACAAAGAGACAUAAAAGGGAAGAGAACAACAAAAGCUGAUGUUGCACUUUUUGUUGUUGAUGCUGAUUUUUAUCUUUCAGCUUCAUUAAUUAGAAUUACAGAUACAUUAUACCAUUGCUGCAUCCAGCCCAGGCUAACGUGCAUCAACCAUCUUUCAGGGAAUGGGUUGACAAUGAAAUAAGAAGAGGUUCUAUCUUGAUUGGCUGAAACAGAUUUCCACCAUAAAGAAAAAGUGAAAUAGGAAAGAACAAAAAUAAACCAGAGCAAGAAAAAAAAAAAAAGAAAAAAUUACAUAUAGAACCCAAAUCCUGUGUUCUGGAUGGUGUUGCAGAUUAAUCUAAAGAGCAGUGAACAAUUCUGGGACAAAGGGAGCUGGCCUUUUCUUAUUCUGUACAAUGUAGAAUACAGGAUUUUACACCACGAGGCUCCUUGCCUGCUAUGAAAUGGAGCUUUCUUGGUGUGAAAUGAAUUGUGAGCUGCAAUUUGAAUGCAGCAAUCUGACGAUUGUGCAAGAGAGAUGGCUGAGAGGAAGCAUAAAUGAUAACCUUACUAUUUCUUUCUGACAUGUAGAUCAUGCUGUACAUUAGAUGAUGAAUAUAUUUCUGUCCUUUGAUAUCCUGUGCUCUCAUAACAAAUUACUGUACAUCAAAGAAAUGAGCUCUGAGUCAAAAUGAUAGUAAAAGUGAUGAGCUAGAAAAUAAUGUAAAGACCUAGUACCUAUGAAAUUACUGCAAAUGUCUGAAGAAAUGGGGCAAAGGAAAUUGCUCACAAAGUUGUUCAAAUAACUUAAGUUGCUCUCUGAAAAAUAAAUAAUCUGGGAGAUGACCAUUAAAAAUGAAAUGUGAUUAGAAGCUGAAGUUUUUGAAGCACUGUAUCUGAUACUGCAUUACAAGCCAUCUUUCCUUAACCUUCUUCCCUGAUGAAAGUUUUAGAAAGAUUGUAGUGGGGGCAAAUAGAGGGCAAAAGGGUUGCCAAUAUCAUAAAGCAUCUUCCUUAUCUAAAUCAUUAGUCCUUUUCCAGCCACGUCAAUUGUGGUUUCAAGUUGUCAUUGCCAGGAGAUUAUUCAGUGGUCCAUUUGGUAUGAAUUGAUUGUUUUGGUCUCAUUCCUGUUAGAUAUUUACAUUAAAAAAAGAAAAAAAAAAA